rnacentral:rRNA from 1 species
GUUAAACCGGAGGAAGGUGGGGAUGACGUCAAGUCCUCAUGGCCCUUAUAGGUGGGGCUACACACGUCAUACAAUGGCUGGUACAAAGGGUUGCCAACCCGCGAGGGGGAGCUAAUCCCAUAAAGCCAGUCGUAGUCCGGAUCGUAGUCUGCAACUCGACUACGUGAAGUCGGAAUCGCUAGUAAUCGUGGAUCAGAAUGUCACGGUGAAUACGUUCCCGGGUCUU